UUUUACGAAAUGUUCUUGAGCAGACAUUACUCUCAUUGAUUAUCUGUAUAUUUCGUUACUACGCACUUCACUACGUGCUUAUUUAAAUAUCAGUUUGUAAAAUGUGAUCCCAUCUUUAAUUUCUUUCUGGGCAAGAUUUCCAAUAAAAGAAUACUUUAAACCCAUUUUCAAUAAUUUGAUUUGUUCGUACUGGUGGAAAUUCCAAUCGUUACGAAUUUUUAAGUUUUAUUAAGAAAUUUUCGUGUGGCUGAAAUUGGAUGGAAUAUGUACCAAUGAAUAAUUGAAAAAUACGAGAAGGAUGUUACCUUGCGCAUCAACUUUAAUAGCAAUCAAAGAUUUUCAGAAGAAUGAUGUAAUUCAUAUUUUCACUCGAGUUCAACCCACUCAUGGAACCCGUCAUGUUUUGAUCACCUUGGACGUUUUCAUCUGAUGGAGAUUCAUCCCACCAGUCACAACGCUGUCGAAUGGAAAACUCUAAAAAAUGGAAAGCGGAGAUCUUGUUCCGGUUAAUUAGUUAAGCCAAGCCACCUUCCCAUUAUUAUCCUUUCUUAACUGUAUAUAACUUAUGUAGAUUUAUCGGGUAUAUAUUUUAAUCUAAUAUACCGUACACAAUUAUAAAUGGCACACACUUAAAAAUAAUGUUACCCCGUUGAAAAGUAAAUGCACUCUGAAUUCGUUAAGUACACUGUAUUGAAUCCAGAAUAACGCAAACUUUAUAAGGAAAACAUAUAGCCUGGUCUGGAUUUUGCAUAGUUUACUUGAUAUAUUCAUACACUUUAUAACAGAGUAGCAUUAGUUUUAAGAGCGUGGCAAAAAUUAGUAAUAAUCGAUAUUUGACGUAAAUGAAAAUUCCGCCUCAUCAAAUGCAUAUGUACGUCCAAAUGCUAAAUAAUGCCAUGACACAAAUUUUGUAUGUUCCCAAACAAAUUUGAAAAUUCAUUUCUAGUGCAAAGUGCUUAGUAGCGUGAUAAAAAAAUUCGAAACUAACAAUCAUUCGGCACGAAAGAUUAGGACUAGAUUAAAACUGAGAUAAUAUGAGUGCACAAAACUUAAAAUUGGAAAUUAAAAUAAUUGCUGUUGCGAAAAA